rnacentral:rRNA from 1 species
GACGAACGCUGGCGGCGUGCUUAACACAUGCAAGUCGAACGAAGUGGCGAACGGGUGAGUAACGCGUAAUCAACCUGCCCUUCAGAGGGGGACAACAGUUGGAAACGACUGCUAAUACCGCAUACUGAAGGAGGGGAUUGCGUCUGCUUGGCUAGUUGGAGGGGUAACGGCCCACCAGGGCGAUGAUCAGUAGCCGGUCGGAAAGGUGGAACGGCCAAAUUGGGACUGAGCAACGGCCAAGACUCCUACGGGAGGCAGCAGUAGGGAAUCUUCGGAAAGGGAGGAAAGUCUGACCGAGCAAGGCGGCGUGAGUGAGGAGGGUUUCCGGAUCGUAAACCUCUGUUGUUAGAGAAGCGGUAUCUAACCAGAAAGCCACGGCUAACUACGUGCCAGCAGCCGCGGUAAUUC